UCAUCUAAAUGCUAAUUUCUAUUACAGGCAGUUGGUAUAGCUGUCGAGUUUUGCAGUCAUCUAGUACAUUCCUUCUCCGUGUCAGUUCAAGCAACUAGGAUUGAAAGGGUCGCAGAUGCAUUGACAAAUAUGGGAAGUUCAGUAUUCAGUGGUAUCACACUGACAAAGUUUGGCGGUAUUAUAGUACUGGGCUUUGCAAAGAGUCAAAUUUUCCAGGUGUUUUACUUCAGAAUGUAUUUGGGUAUUGUACUAUUUGGAGCGGCGCAUGGUCUCAUCUUUUUGCCAGUACUACUAAGUUACAUAGGCUCACCCAUGAACAGAGAGAAAUUGGCCAACCAUAAGAGAGCGAUACAUGGAAAUCUGGACAACGUGCAAGAGACAUCUUUGAAUCAUCGUGUAAGCAAACACAAUUCUCCUACACCCACUACAACUACACCUACAUUCAAAGUGCUUGAAUGUGACAGAUAGGUAUGCAGAGCAUCUGAAUAUAAAAACGGAACGUCCAUGUUUUGACAUGUGGCGUGAUGUCGCGCCGAGGGCGUAGAAGAGCCCGCGAACUCGCGAGCGAAAGCGAAGCUAGGCGUCACCAACGUGACAAGCCGGAUUCUCCUCUACUCCAAAACGACAACCAACAACGCGCGUCCACUUCCUACGCCAGUGUGAACUCCAGCGAUGCGACUGAUCACCAUAUAACAUUCUAACGAAGAAUUAGUUGUUGCCGAUAUAAUCGGAUGCAAUUUUUGUACUUAGAAGGACUGAAAUGAAUCUGUACAAUAAGUGUCAAUAGAGUCUUUUAUCUCUGAGCCGAGAGGAAGAGAGAGAUUCACAAGUUCGUCUCUCCUCCGAAAUAUAGAAAGUUUAACGCGAAUUGUUUCUACCAAAUUUCUUCGAGACUGGUGAACAUGUCCAUCUACGUUCAUAUCUGGCACAUUAUAUUUUAGCGAUAAAUAAAUUUGUAUAGUUCUAGGUCUUCGUCAUUUUUAGCAUAUUUAUUUUGGGCAAGGCUUUCUUUUUUUUUUUAAUUUAAUAUUAGAUCUUCACAGACUGUAUUCGAAAUUAAAAUGUUUCGCAAUCGCGAACGCUUAAUCAUACGCGCGAUCAAUUUUAGAUAGAAUAAUUUAUAUAGAACGAAGAAUUUUUGUUUUUCUUACUAUUCGUUAAGCAAAUUUACUGAAAAUGUAUUAAACGUGACGGAUGUAAAAUGCAUUUUCCUAUUUUUAAUGUAUUUCUUAAUUGUGACAUGAAUCCUUUUUCUGAUAUCGAUAUC